CCUUACCCUACUUAGACAUCUCAGUGGCUCCCUAUGACCUGCUGAACAAAGUCGAAACCCAGCUCUGCCUUCAAGCCACAAUGUCAAAAAUUGCUCCUCCCCGGUUCCUCAAGGGAAACAUUCCCUUACACCCUGCCAAUUUACUUCGAAUUCCCAGAGCACACCUUUAGCUCUUGGCCUUUCAUCUGGACCUCAUACUCUCCUAGGAGUGAGCCUUCUUCUCUCCUCUAUUUGGUCUGGAAGCUCCUUGAGGAUAAAGAGCAAAGCCUGAGUCAUCUUCGAUUCCUCUCCCCUGCCCCCCACAGAGCCUUGCUUUGAGCAGGCCCCCAGCUGGUGUUUUCUGCUAUGGAGCAGUCACCUUUGGUUGUCCUUCUUAGCCUGGUUAGGAGUUCUGACUGACAACCAAGUGCCACCUGGGAGCUCAGAUUCCUGAAGAAUGAACGUGAAAUGACUCAGCCCAGGGGGACCUGGAUCCUCUUCCUCCCCUGACUUCCACACAUGGGCCCUUCAUUUAUUCCUUAAGUUUUAGGGAUGUCUUUGAUUCUAUACAACACUGAUUUCCUAAUACAUCUCCUCCCUUCCCUAACUAGCUAAGGACUACUAGUACAGAGGAUUGAGCCAUAACCACCUUUUGACAGAUGUUGGUGUGUCAUUGAGGUUUGCCCAGAAUCCUUAGAGACUGUUCAUUACUGUCACUGACUCCUUCCCGUGUGCUCUGUGUCUAAGAAGAGAAAAAGCCUUAGCCUUGUGAGUAGAUGAACAUUUGGCUACAUCCCUCCACAUUUGUACCAGCACAGCCAAGCCACCAUUCCAGAGAAUGUAAACUUUGCAUGAAUGUUGAGCUUUAAAAAACAAACCAUGUGACUAACCCAGGGGGUGAGUACCUGAGCCAGGUGGGGCACUUUACAAAUUCCCUGACCCUUGUCCUCCGAUUUGUACCUAGAGGCCUUCAACAAUGGUGAAUGUCAUCCUAUCUCCUGAGAAGUCACAUUCCUUUUUGGGGACAGCUCUCAUUAGGAUGUUUUCCUAUAUUGAGCUGGACUUAAUUGCCUAUAAUUAAUUGCUACCCAUUGGGUCUAAUUCAUGGGGUCUUUGGGUUUCUGAGCUUGAGGCUACCUCCGAGUCCAUCUGAUUGAUCACUUUAUUUUACAUUUUUUAACAGAUAAAUUCAUAGGACGUGAGUUGACAUUCUGCCCCAUCACUUACUAACUUGUCUGAACCUAGCCUAAUUAUCUCCCCUCCUUGGUCCUCUUUCAACUCUAGAUUUCUGAUUCAAAUAAACUGAAGCCUAGAGAAGGCAAGAGACUUGCCUAUGGUGACUCAGUUAGGCGGUAGCAGAGUUAAGAUUCAACCCCAUGUCCUGGGACUCUGACUUAGAACAAAUCUAAUCUCAGGUUUUCAAGGAGUUUCAGACCACUAUUAUAUACCCCCGAGUCUUCUCUUCUCCAGGCUAGACACCCCAUCUCCUACAUCAGCAGAUCAUUGGAUAGCAAGACCCUGGCCUGGUCUCCCAUCUCUCAAUGCUGAUGGAAAUCUACAAAGUCUUCUAGUAGACAACUGCUUGAAUGCUGGAGCCCGAAGGGACAAGAAUGAACACAAAGAAGUUGGGAUUUGACCCUAAUUGGCACACAGGAGCUGUCCUAAAGGAGAAGUCCAAACAAAACGGUGUCUCCAACACUCAGAGUGCCCUGGGGAGCUCAAUCAGGGUGGGGUGCACAGGGUACUGCAGGACAUGCCUGUGCAUCAGAAAUGAGACCAUUAGUAAUUCAAAAGGAACAAUAUCUCCAGAGAAAUUUUCCUGAAAAGUUGGAGGCAGAAUUGGCUGAACAGAGCACCAGUGUGUGUGGGGUUAAUAUCUUAGGCACAAAAUAAAGCAAUCUUGU